AGAGGUAGCUCAGUGGUGGAGCACUUGUCUGACAUGCUCGGGGCCCUGGGUUCAAUUCCCAGUAGCUCCU
rnacentral:tRNA from 1 species